rnacentral:rRNA from 1 species
GACGAACGCUGGCGGCGUGCUUAACACAUGCAAGUCGAACGGAAAGGCCCUGCUUUUGUGGGGUGCUCGAGUGGCGAACGGGUGAGUAACACGUGAGUAACCUGCCCUUGACUUUGGGAUAACUUCAGGAAACUGGGGCUAAUACCGGAUAGGAGCUCCUGCUGCAUGGUGGGGGUUGGAAAGUUUCGGCGGUUGGGGAUGGACUCGCGGCUUAUCAGCUUGUUGGUGGGGUAGUGGCUUACCAAGGCUUUGACGGGUAGCCGGCCUGAGAGGGUGACCGGCCACAUUGGGACUGAGAUACGGCCCAGACUCCUACGGGAGGCAGCAGUGGGGAAUAUUGCACAAUGGGCGGAAGCCUGAUGCAGCAACGCCGCGUGCGGGAUGAUGGCCUUCGGGUUGUAAACCGCUUUCGCCUGUGACGAAGCGUGGGUGACGGUAAUGGGUAAAGAAGCACCGGCUAACUACGUG